UGUCGUGAUGAUGACACUGAGGUCACACCUGUUCCCAUACCGAACACAGCAGUUAAGCUCAGUAGUGCCAAAAGUAGUUGGAGGAUCGCCUCCUGCGAGGAUAGGACGUUGCGAUGC
rnacentral:rRNA from 1 species